GCCAGUGUGAUGUAGUGGUUGAGCACUGGACUGUGAUUCUAGAAGCCAGGGUUCAAAUCCCUGCUUGGCCA